UUUCUAUGUUUAGCGAGCAUAUUUGUUUUCAAAGACGUAUUCUCGAAGAUUAUGCGAAUAUGUAUACGUUAUAUAUUUUUAGGUGACUAUAAUAUAGCGGCGGUAGACAUUCUUUUCCGCAACGGUAAUUUUUAUAUCGGUUCGUUCUAGACACUUUAUCCACACUCGUAUAUAUUAUGUUCGCGUUUUCCGGUCAAAAGAUCGUAAUAAACUCGGUUAAGGUUUAUGUCCGGCGUGUCUAUUGUUAGUUGGCAUCGUAAAUUCGUUCAAUCGGCACACUGCUACUGCUGCUGCCGCUAUUGCUGCUGCUGUAGGAGAGAGAAGGAGAAGGAGUGUGUAUGUGUGUGUGUGUGUGUGUGUGUGUGUGUGUGUGUGUGUGUGUGUGUGUGUGUGUGUGUAAGAAAGAGAGAGAGAGACAGAGAGAGAAAAAAGAGCUUAAUGAAAUUUAAUUUAGAGCUCUGCGCCCCGGUGCAUUCAAUACGGAUACACGGGCCAUGUGUGUGGUUCAAUUAUUUCGGUUCGUUAAGACCGACUCCGUUCAUUCUAAAUCCUAAGAAGAGAUUUCUUCCCCUACUCCUAAUGAGUUUCCACCGAGCAAAUG